ACUCAAAUGAAUUGACGGGGACCCGCACAAGCAGGGGAACGUGUGGUUUAAUUCGAGACAAAACGAAGAACCUCACCAGGGUUUGACAUGUAUGUUUUAGGACCUCGAAAGAGGAACAAACCGCAAGGUAGCAUACACAGGUGCUGCAUGGCUGUCGUCAGCUCGUGCCGUGAGGUGUACCCUUAAGUGGGGUAACGAGCGCAACCCCUAUCGUCUGUUGUAUCACUCAGGCGAGACUGCCUCCGUAAAGCGGGGGAGGAAGGAGGGGACGACGUCAAGUCAUCAUAGCCCUUAUGUCCUGGGCUACACACACGUUACAAUGGUCGUUAACAACGGGUUGCAACUUCGCGAGGAGAAGCUAAUCUCUUAAAAGCGAUCUCAGUUGGGAUUGUAGUCUGCAAUUCGACUACAUGAACAUGGACUUGCUAGUAAUCGCAGGUCAGCAUACUGCGGUGAAUACGUUCUCGGGUCUUGCACACACCGCCCGU
rnacentral:rRNA from 1 species